rnacentral:rRNA from 1 species
AUUGAACGCUGGCGGCAGGCCUAACACAUGCAAGUCGAACGAGUGGCGGACGGGUGAGUAAUGUCUGGGAAACUGCCUGAUGGAUGGGGAUAACUACUGGAAACGGUAGCUAAUACCGCAUACCAUCGGAUGUGCCCAGAUGGGAUUAGCUAGUAGGUGGGGUAAAGGCUCACCUAGGCGACGAUCCCUAGCUGGUCUGAGAGGAUGACCAGCCAAACUGGAACGGAGAAACGGUCCAGACUCCUACGGGAGGCAGCAGUGGGGAAUAUUGAACAAUGGGCGCAAGCCUGAUGCAGCAAUGCCGCGUGUAGGAAGAGGGCCUUCGGGGUGUAAAGUACUUUCAUCGGGGAGGCGUUACCCGCAGAAGAAGCACCGGCUAACUCCGUGCCAGCAGCCGCGGUAAUUC